rnacentral:rRNA from 1 species
UACGUAGGGUGCAAGCGUUGUCCGGAGUUAUUGGGCGUAAAGAGCUCGUAGGCGGUCUGUUGCGUCCGCUGUGAAAACUCGGGGCUUAACCCCGAGCCUGCAGUGGAUACGGGCAGACUAGAGGUAGGUAGGGGAGAAUGGAAUUCCCGGUGUAGCGGUGAAAUGCGCAGAUAUCGGGAGGAACACCGGUGGCGAAGGCGGUUCUCUGGGCCUAACCUGACGCUGAGGAGCGAAAGCGUGGGGAGCGAACAGG